UAAGAUGGCAGAAUAGAAGGACUGGAGCUCAACUUCUCUCCUAAAAACAACAAAAUUUACAAACAAAUGAUGAGCAAUUUCAACCAAAUGGACCAGAAACCUUCAAAAAGAUAUCCUAUUCCAGAAGACAAAGAGGAGGCCACAUCAAGAGGCUCCAGGUUACGUACAGCUGGGACUGCUGCUACCUGAUUGCAAGAAUUAUAUAAGACCAAGAUAAUGAAGGCUAGAUUUAAAAAACAUAAAGGUAAGUAAUCUGAAUUUGAACCCAGAUCUGUAUGACUCAGAAGUCCAUGCUUUUAAAUCAAUCCUCAUGCUGUCUCUAUGAGUAAGGGAAAAAAUGUCAUGAAAGUGUUAUUUUAGCCAGAAAUAAGUGUAGGAAAGGCCACAGAAACAGGACCCUCUAUAUUGCUUUGGCAAUGUUGGACAAACCU
rnacentral:lncRNA from 1 species